GGUUAAGUUAGAAAGGGCGCACGGUGGAUGCCUUGACACUAGGAGUCGAUGAAGGACGGGACUAACGCCGAUAUGCUUCGGGGAGCUGUAAGUAAGCUUUGAUCCGAAGAUUUCCGAAUGGGGAAACCCACCAUACGUAAUGGUAUGGUAUCCUUAUCUGAAUACAUAGGGUAAGGAAGACAGACCCAGGGAACUGAAACAUCUAAGUACCUGGAGGAAGAGAAAGCAAAUGCGAUUUCCUGAGUAGCGGCGAGCGAAACGGAACAUAGCCCAAACCAAGAGGCUUGCCUCUUGGGGUUGUAGGACAUUCUAUACGGAGUUACAAAGGAACGAGGUAGACGAAGCGACCUGGAAAGGUCCGUCGUAGAGGGUAACAACCCCGUAGUCGAAACUUCGUUCUCUCUUGAAUGUAUCCUGAGUACGGCGGAACACGUGAAAUUCCGUCGGAAUCUGGGAGGACCAUCUCCCAAGGCUAAAUACUCCCUAGUGAUCGAUAGUGAACCAGUACCGUGAGGGAAAGGUGAAAAGCACCCCGGAAGGGGAGUGAAAGAGAUCCUGAAACCGUGUGCCUACAAAUAGUCAGAGCCCGUUAACGGGUGAUGGCGUGCCUUUUGUAGAAUGAACCGGCGAGUUACGAUCCCGUGCGAGGUUAAGCUGAAGAGGCGGAGCCGCAGCGAAAGCGAGUCUGAAUAGGGCGUUUAGUACGUGGUCGUAGACCCGAAACCAGGUGAUCUACCCAUGUCCAGGGUGAAGUUCAGGUAACACUGAAUGGAGGCCCGAACCCACGCACGUUGAAAAGUGCGGGGAUGAGGUGUGGGUAGCGGAGAAAUUCCAAUCGAACCUGGAGAUAGCUGGUUCUCCCCGAAAUAGCUUUAGGGCUAGCCUUAAGUGUAAGAGUCUUGGAGGUAGAGCACUGAUUGGACUAGGGGUCCUCAUCGGAUUACCGAAUUCAGUCAAACUCCGAAUGCCAAUGACUUAUCCUUAGGAGUCAGACUGCGAGUGAUAAGAUCCGUAGUCAAAAGGGAAACAGCCCAGACCGCCAGCUAAGGUCCCAAAGUGUGUAUUAAGUGGAAAAGGAUGUGGAGUUGCUUAGACAACUAGGAUGUUGGCUUAGAAGCAGCCACCAUUUAAAGAGUGCGUAAUAGCUCACUAGUCGAGUGACUCUGCGCCGAAAAUGUACCGGGGCUAAAUACACCACCGAAGCUGCGGAUUGAUACCAAUGGUAUCAGUGGUAGGGGAGCGUUCUAAGGACAGUGAAGUCAGACCGUAAGGACUGGUGGAGUGCUUAGAAGUGAGAAUGCCGGUAUGAGUAGCGAAAGACGGGUGAGAAUCCCGUCCACCGAAUGCCUAAGGUUUCCUGAGGAAGGCUCGUCCGCUCAGGGUUAGUCAGGACCUAAGCCGAGGCCGACAGGCGUAGGCGAUGGACAACAGGUUGAUAUUCCUGUACCACCUCUUUAUCGUUUGAGCAAUGGAGGGACGCAGAAGGAUAGAAGAAGCGUGCGAUUGGUUGUGCACGUCCAAGCAGUUAGGCUGAUAAGUAGGCAAAUCCGCUUAUCAUAAAGGCUGAGCUGUGAUGGGGAAGCUCCUUAUGGAGCGAAGUCUUUGAUUCCCCGCUGCCAAGAAAAGCUUCUAGCGAGAUAAAAGGUGCCUGUACCGCAAACCGACACAGGUAGGCGAGGAGAGAAUCCUAAGGUGUGCGAGAGAACUCUGGUUAAGGAACUCGGCAAAAUGACCCCGUAACUUCGGGAGAAGGGGUGCUUUCUUAACGGAAAGCCGCAGUGAAUAGGCCCAAGCGACUGUUUAGCAAAAACACAGCUCUCUGCGAAGCCGUAAGGCGAAGUAUAGGGGGUGACACCUGCCCGGUGCUGGAAGGUUAAGGAGAGGGGUUAGCGUAAGCGAAGCUCUGAACUGAAGCCCCAGUAAACGGCGGCCGUAACUAUAACGGUCCUAAGGUAGCGAAAUUCCUUGUCGGGUAAGUUCCGACCCGCACGAAAGGUGUAACGAUUUGGGCACUGUCUCAACCAGAGACUCGGUGAAAUUAUAGUACCUGUGAAGAUGCAGGUUACCCGCGACAGGACGGAAAGACCCCGUGGAGCUUUACUGUAGCCUGAUAUUGAAUUUUGGUACAGUUUGUACAGGAUAGGCGGGAGCCAUUGAAACCGGAGCGCUAGCUUCGGUGGAGGCGCUGGUGGGAUACCGCCCUGACUGUAUUGAAAUUCUAACCUACGGGUCUUAUCGACCCGGGAGACAGUGUCAGGUGGGCAGUUUGACUGGGGCGGUCGCCUCCUAAAGUGUAACGGAGGCGCCCAAAGGUUCCCUCAGAAUGGUUGGAAAUCAUUCGUAGAGUGCAAAGGCAUAAGGGAGCUUGACUGCGAGACCUACAAGUCGAGCAGGGACGAAAGUCGGGCUUAGUGAUCCGGUGGUUCCGCAUGGAAGGGCCAUCGCUCAACGGAUAAAAGCUACCCCGGGGAUAACAGGCUUAUCUCCCCCAAGAGUCCACAUCGACGGGGAGGUUUGGCACCUCGAUGUCGGCUCAUCGCAUCCUGGGGCUGUAGUCGGUCCCAAGGGUUGGGCUGUUCGCCCAUUAAAGCGGUACGCGAGCUGGGUUCAGAACGUCGUGAGACAGUUCGGUCCCUAUCCGUCGUGGGCGUAGGAAAUUUGAGAGGAGCUGUCCUUAGUACGAGAGGACCGGGAUGGACGCACCGCUGGUGUACCAGUUGUUCUGCCAAGGGCAUAGCUGGGUAGCUAUGUGCGGAAGGGAUAAGUGCUGAAAGCAUCUAAGCAUGAAGCCCCCCUCAAGAUGAGAUUUCCCAUAGCGUAAGCUAGUAAGAUCCCUGAAAGAUGAUCAGGUUGAUAGGUUCGAGGUGGAAGCAUGGUGACAUGUGGAGCUGACGAAUACUAAUAGAUCGAGGACUUAACCAU
rnacentral:rRNA from 3 species